rnacentral:rRNA from 1 species
ACGGGUGAGUAAUAUAUCGGAACGUGCCCAAUCGUGGGGGAUAACGUAGAGAAAUUUACGCUAAUACCGCAUACGAUCUAAGGAUGAAAGCGGGGGAUCGCAAGACCUCGCGCGAUUGGAGCGGCUGAUAUCAGAUUAGGUUGUUGGUGAGGUAAAAGCUCACCAAGCCGACGAUCUGUAGCUGGUUUGAGAGAACGACCAGCCACACUGGGACUGAGACACGGCCCAGACUCCUACGGGAGGCAGCAGUGGGGAAUUUUGGACAAUGGGCGAAAGCCUGAUCCAGCAAUGCCGCGUGCAGGAAGAAGGCCUUCGGGUUGUAAACUGCUUUUGUACGGAACGAAACGGCUCUUUCUAAUAAAGAGGGCUAAUGACGGUACCGUAAGAAUAAGCACCGGCUAACUACGUGCCAGCAGCCGCGGUAAUACGUAGGGUGCGAGCGUUAAUCGGAAUUACUGGGCGUAAAGCGUGCGCAGGCGGUUAUAUAAGACAGUUGUGAAAUCCCCGGGCUCAACCUGGGAAUUGCAUCUGUGACUGUAUAGCUAGAGUACGGUAGAGGGGGAUGGAAUUCCGCGUGUAGCAGUGAAAUGCGUA